UGGGUUGAGUGAGAAACUGAAAAGUGAAACGCGAAUGGUCGUGAGAGGUACACGUAUGAUCCUUGAGUCUUAAAGCGACUCUGGAGAGAGGCGAAGCGUAGGAGACGACGCGGGAAGCUAAUUGGAAAAAAUGGAGGUGGAGGAAGCCAAGAUCUUGCUCGGCUUUCCUCCUGGUUCACGUCCCGAUCCUUCUCAGGUAAAAGCUGCUUACAGGAAGAAAGUAUGGGAAUCGCAUCCUGACCUAUUUCCAGAUGACCAGAAGAUCCAUGCUGAGUCUUUGUUUAAAUCGAUAUCUGAAGCUUACUCUUGCCUUGACUCUGGUAUCUCUCUCUCUCUCUCUCUGAUAUGACCUUUCCUCGGUGUUAUAGUUUAGAAUCCACAGGUCUGCAAAUAACCCAAAUGAGAGAGCUGCUAGGUUCCUGUUGUGUGAAAUCAGCUUUCCUCAUGACAAAUGAAUCAAGAUUUUGAGAGUCCUUUGAGCUUCUGUUGUUGGAAGAAUGUGAUAAAGAAGAGACCAUCACAUACGAUACUACUAUAUACACUGUUGUAUUCUAGAUCAUUUGGGUUUACAAGUCCGCAGAUCAGGACAUGCUUACUCUGAAAUGAUAUAAAAUGCUAAAAUCUAUUAUAAAACAUUCUCAACUAUUGUCUCUAUUUGUAAUUAACACAUUUCCUCUCUCUUUUUGCAGGUGGUGUUAGGGAUCAAAGAUAUUAUAGAGCAGGCGCGUAUUCGAGGGUCGUCAGGACUGGAGUUCCACGGGCACAUGCAUCUGCCAAAAGAGGUAACCCUUGGUUGAUCGGCGCACCUUUCCUUCUGAUCGUUUUAGGAACCAUUGGACUUGGUGGAGUCAAAGCUAACAGGGCUUAUAAUCUGCAAAAACAGACGUUCCCGUCUCACAAUCCUUUUCUUCCUUGAUUCGGAGUCUCUUACAACAUCACAUUUUGAAUAAUUGGUUAUGUAUGUAAGCCUUGUAUUAUUGUACUUGAUACUGUAUGUAAAAAUUAUGAUGUUACGAAUUUCUCAAAAGAUUAAAUACACCUAAUAAUUCUUUCUUGCGUUUUGAA